CAGCAGCCGCGGGAAUACGAAGGGUGCAAGCGUUAAUCGGAAUUACUGGGCGUAAAGCGUGCGUAGGCGGUGAGUUAAGUCUGCUGUGAAAUCCCCGGGCUCAACCUGGGAACGGCAGUGGAUACUGGCUCGCUAGAGUGUGUCAGAGGAUGGUGGAAUUCCCGGUGUAGCGGUGAAAUGCGUAGAGAUCGGGAGGAACAUCAGUGGCGAAGGCGGCCAUCUGGGACAACACUGACGCUGAGGCACGAAAGCGUGGGGAGCAAACAGGAUUAGAUACCCCUGUAGUCCCUGUCUCUUAUAC
rnacentral:rRNA from 1 species